rnacentral:rRNA from 1 species
AAGCGCUUGCAACCAGACUUGCGCGCGGCUGAUCAUCCGGUGUUCUCACCGGUGCACUCGGUCGCGCUCAGGCCAGCAUCGGUUUCGGUGGUUGGAUAAAGGCCUUGGGAAUGUAGCUUCUUUCGGGGAGUGUUAUAGCCCUCGGUGCAAUGCAG